rnacentral:rRNA from 1 species
UACGGAGGGCGCGAGCGUUGUCCGGAAUCACUGGGCGUAAAGGGCGCGUAGGCGGCCCUGGUAAGUCUGCGGUGAAAGCCCGGGGCUCAACCCCGGGUCGGCCGCGGGUACUGCCGGGCUGGAGUGCCGUAGGGGCAGGCGGAAUUCCGGGUGUAGCGGUGGAAUGCGUAGAGAUCCGGAAGAACACCGGUGGCGAAGGCGGCCUGCUGGGCGGCGACUGACGCUGAGGAGCGAAAGCAUGGGGAGCGAACAGG